GUCUCCGUAACUCAGUUGAAUAGAGUAAUCCCCUCCUAAGGGAUAAGUCAUCGGUUUGAGUCCGAUCGGGGACACCA
rnacentral:tRNA from 1 species